CAACUGGACCGUGGCCCUGCCUGGCAAUUAGUGCCCCAGGAUGGCUCUGACCAGCUUCU
ensembl:miRNA mdo-mir-7268 mdo-mir-7268